ACUGUGAUACGGCAUUACAGGAAAAAGUUAAAACGCUUGUGUCUGUCAUCCCCCCCCUGCUACCGAGAAGACCUGCAGCAGAACAACAUCAUCAGCGGUCAGCCAUUAUAAGCGAAGGAAAUGUGUAAAAGUUUCGUGUGAUACAACCGGCGAAAGUGUUGUUAGCCUUUCAAAGUUUGAAUAUAAAUUUUUUCUUUAAAAUGCAUACAAUACAAGAAUUGGGUACAAACGUACCGGCGUUUCUUGCUAAACUCUGGAGGCUGGUUGAAGAUCCAAAAAACAAGGAUCUCAUUUGUUGGUCACCCACUGGUAAAAGUUUUUUUAUCAGAAAUCAAGCAAAAUUUGCAAGCGAGUUAUUACCGUAUUAUUAUAAACAUAAUAAUAUGCCUAGUUUUGUGCGGCAGCUAAAUAUGUAUGGUUUUCACAAGAUAGUAUCGGUAGAAUUAGGUGGUUUAAAAUGUGACAAAGAUGAAAUGGAAUUUGCACAUCAGUAUUUUAUCAGAGGAAAUCCAGGUUUAUUAGAACACAUUAAAAGAAAAAUUGCAUCUAGCAAAACUCAAGAUGCUGCACAUUCUGGUAUUAAACCGGAACUAAUGAAUAAGAUGUUAACUGAAGUAAGGAAUAUGAAAGGUCGUCAAGAGGAUUUGGAUAGCAGGAUAGGUGCAAUAAAAAAUGAAAAUGAAGCCAUGUGGAGAGAAUUAGCAAUGCUGAGACAGAAACACAUAAAACAACAACAAAUUGUUAACAAACUCAUUCACUUCUUUGUUAGUAUGUGCCAAUCCUCAAGGUCAAGUGGUCUACAUCCUGUUAAAAGACAAUAUCCGAGAUUAAUGAUAGACGAUCUCAAACAUAAAGAGAGAAAAUUAUCAAAGGCUCAGACAUCUCCUACAGGACCUGUAAUUCAUGAACUUGAUUCGUCAGAACCUGACUUGGAUUCAGAAUAUAUCGUUGAUGAAAUGUUAGAAAAUGAAAAUCCAGCUGUUCACAGUCUGCAGGAACAUGUUGUUUCGUCGAUAGAUGACAGUAUGGACACUGUUCACUUACCAGACACUUCAGUACAGUUAGAAAACGAUAUUCAAAUUAAACAUCGGAGUAGUACGAUGAAGAAACAUUCGAAAGACAAGAAGAAGAGGAAAAACAAGGUGCCUAUAAAAAUUUUAAUUCCACCAUUGGGAAAUGGAGGAAAACCAAGAGAGGAAUUGCAUAUGCUUAACAUACCUACUGUACCAAGAGAGAAGACUAUGACUACUGUGCUGAAAAAAGACUCUGUUGGUUCCAAAACGGUAGUACCAAUGGCAACAGUGCGUAGUUCCAAACUCGCAGCAAUGGCAGCAAACAUGAAUACAACUCAAGAGUUUGAUACCGACACUUCUGCUGAUGUAGAAGACGAUGGAACGGAAGCUGGAGAUGAUGUAUCUAUAGUAAAAUUAGAAGAGUUUCUAAAUGAGCCAGAUAUGGUCACUCGUGAUAACGUCAAAAAUCAAAUCAAAAAUGGUGAAAACAGUAACAGCACCCUUAAUAAAAUGAACAAAGGAUUUAAUCAAACCGACAGCAAAAAUGUGUUUAUGGCCGAUAACUAUGUGCAAAACAGUGAAAAUAAAGCGUCAAAAUGUUCGCAGCAAUGGGGCCAAAGCAGGCAAAAAGCAGGCACAAGCUCAUCCAAAGAUUUAUCUUUAAGCUGUGUCAAUUCCUCUGGAAUGUCUGAAGCUAAUUACAGGUUAGAACCGACGGAAGAAAUGGAUAGUCAUGUGGAGUUGAUACAACAUGACCUAGAUAAUGUACGUGAUAAUUUACGUGAAGUAUUGCGUGAAAACUGCAACUUUGAUGUUAACGCCAUUUGUGAGUUAUUUGGCGACGACUCAUUGGCAUUUGGACUACCAGUUAAUCCAGAAUUGAAUCCACAUUGUGACAAAGAUGAUUACGAUACACUUUCAGAUGGUAAUGGAUCUGCUGGUGGAGAACUUAUGACAUAUAAUCCCUCUACGGGUUUGUUAGAGGCUUUUGAUGACAUGAUCGACGUAAAUACAUCGUCUUCGUGGGUACCACUAUCGCCACCUACAACAUCAGAUUUAUCUGCAAACGAUCUACAUACACAGUUAUCUACACCUAAUCUAUACGCAGACCCUUCAGAUGAUCCUUUAAGUAUAGAAGAUAAUAAGAUUUCUCUUCUUGACUCUCUAGUAAAAACUAACAUGAAUCCAAGUUCAUAAAUAAAUAUAUGGAUUUUUUGCAGGUUGAAAGAGAUCAGUGUUGCAUCCAAUCCUUUGGUUUCAGUAUGUUUUAUUCUGAAUGGAUCAGUACAAACAGUUUCUUUAGUAAGCAGACAAAAAAUUACACACACACACACAUAAAAUUGUUAAAAGAAAUAAAAAAUAGAUCUUGCAAUCACUUGUUGAUUCAUGAAACUUAUAAUGACUAGUUUUUACGCACUUGUAGCAUAAAAUCCUUGGAUUUAUUUGUUUAUCGUAAAACAAUAUGUAAUAUCUGAUAUUAUUUUUGAGAUUCGACAAAUGUCACACAAUUUUUCUUUUGUCUGUACAGAAUUACAAGAUUUUAUGCGUUUCAAUCACAAUAUUUAUAUUGAAUGUUUUCUCAGAAAGGUUAGAAAAACAUCAAAAAUAUAUAUACAGGUUACACAAUAUUAGAGAAGUGAAUAUCUUUAUACAAAUAUUAAUGCAUUCUCUCUGUUUCUCUAUAUUGGCAAAAAUGAUAUCUAAUAUAAUUUUCUGAAACAGGAGUAAGAUUUUUUUAUAUGACAUAUUUACCUCUUUCUAUAUAUUGGUCUUUUGACAUAACAGCAACAUUACAGAUAGAUUUUAUAAUUUUUUCGUUGGAUACUACUCCUGGAUUCUCUUAAUUACUUCCAGGGAAAAAAACGAUACUACGAAGAAUAAGAUAAAUUGUUCCUGCGAUAUUCAAUAUCAGAUUCCGAGAAUGAGAAUAAUAUCUCACACGUAAUAGUUACAUUUUAUUGUGUGACAACGCAAUUAAAAUUUUCAGCUUGCGGAACGAACUACAAUCUAUUAUUAAAAAGAAACAAAUAUAACUUUCUUAAAAGUUAUAUUGGUAAAAUCUUUCUGUUCGUAUUCGAUAUAAAAGUUUGAAUACAAAACCUUUCUUACUUUUGUUUAUGUAUAUAAUAAUGAAAUAAGAUAACAAGUCUAGUUGGACUCCAAUAAACUUGCACGUAAGAAAGUCGUUUCUUCACUUAUAAUAGUUUUAUUCUUUUACUAUUGUUAGUUAUCUCACUGUAUAGUACAAGAUAAAACGCAAAAAGUGAUAUAAAUCGUGCAAGUUAAGAUUUCAGUGUGUUAUAUAAAAUAUAUAAACAUCUCUCGAAUAAUUUAUGUAAUACGAAUAAAAUACAUAAAAAAUUUACAACA